rnacentral:rRNA from 1 species
GACGAAGCGUAAGUGACGGUACCUAUAGAAGAAGCACCGGCCAACUACGUGCCAGCAGCCGCGGUAAUACGUAGGGUGCGAGCGUUGUCCGGAAUUACUGGGCGUAAAGCGUGCGCAGGCGGACUUUUAAGCCAGAUGUGAAAGCCCCGAGCUUAACUUGGGAAUUGCGUUUGGAACUGGGAGUCUAGAGUCUGUCAGAGGGGGAUGGAAUUCCACGUGUAGCAGUGAAAUGCGUAGAGAUGUGGAGGAACACCGAUGGCGAAGGCAGUCCCCUGGGAUAAGACUGACGCUCAUGCACGAAAAGCGUGGGGAGCAAACAGGAUUAGAUACCCUGGUAGUCCACGCCCUAAACGAUGUCUACUAGUUGUUGGGGUAGCAAUACCUCAGUGACGCAGCUAACGCGUGAAGUAGACCGCCUGGGGAGUACGGUCGCAAGAUUAAAACUCAAAGG